rnacentral:lncRNA from 1 species
CCUUCUUAUCCCCUUCGAAUUUCCUAAAACCUCCGUUAAACCUUACAGGUAAGUUAACAAUGGCUUCCUCUACUCUUUCCUUUCAACUUCUCUCGCUAACAACCUUAUCCUCAAUCUCUAAAACCAGUUCUCCUUCUGCUCUCUGCAACUUUCCAUCCUCCAUUAAUCCUUUUCCCAAGCUUUUCUCCAUACCUACUUCGAUUAAGCUCUUUGAAGCCACUCCAUCGUCCAAAUUCGUCCGAAAUUUUGCUGUAGCCUCACCCUACGGUCUGGAUGAGGAUUUAUCAAGUGACGGAGAUGAAGACCAGCGGACGAAUUAUUCCCCCGACCUUAAAGUUUAUGUCGGAAACUUGCCGUGGAAUGUUGAUAGUGCAGCUCUCGCUGGACUGUUUCAACGAGCUGGGAAUGUUGAAAUGGUUGAGGUAUAAUCUACUCCUUUAAACCUAAUUCGAAACUUCAGAUCUGUUCGUUUUUUUUUUUCUCUAAAUCUGAUUAAUGUAUAUAGGUUGUAUAUGACAAAAUCACCGGAAGAAGCAGGGGUUUCGGGUUUGUGACCAUGUCCUCCGUUAAAGAAGUUGAGGCAGCUACUCGACAGUUCAAU